CGAAGAUUAAAUUUAAAUUGAUUGCUGAGGAUACUAAAUUUAGAAGAGUGCAAUUCUCAAACCGUAUUAAAGAUGCUUUGUCAAGAAUAAAGUAGUAAGGGAAAGAGUGUUUCCAGUUUGCUUUCCUUCAAAAAGUUCUCAUACUGGUCAUUUUACUAGAGAUGAUACUUAUUACUUAAGUAUAAAGACGUCCAAAACUUGUGUUGUUUAAAGAAUCUUAAUGUAAGUAAAGAUGUUACUACAAAAUAAUAACAGUUUAUGUGAUUAGGAAAUUAUUUGUUUAUUUAGUAUAAGGUUUAAGUCUAUAAUAUAUUUUUUGAGUUAUUGUUUUU